UUAAAGGGUGCGUAGGCGGGUUCGUAAGUGUCGUGUGAAAGCCCACUGCUCAACGGUGGAACCGCACGGCAAACUGCGAGUCUUGAAGAAAUUAGAGGUCGCUGGAACGCUUGGUGGAGCGGUGGAAUGCGUAGAUAUCAAGCGGAACGCCGAAGGUGAAGACAGGCGACUAGGAUUUUCUUGACGCUGAGGCACGAAAGCGUGGGGAGCAAACAGGAUUAGAUACCCUGGUAGUCCACGCCCUAAACGAUGUACGCUGGAUCACGGCGGCUCUGACGCCGUCGGGAUCGUAGAGAAAUUGGUAAGCGUACCGCCUGGGGAGUACGGUCGCAAGACUAAAACUCAAAGAAAUUGACGGGGGCUCACACAAGCGGUGGAGCAUGUGGCUCAAUUCGAAGCAACGCGCAGAACCUUACCUGGGUUUGACAUGGCUGGAUUAGUCGGUGGAAACAUCGAUGACACUCGCAAGAGUGGAACAGUCACAGGUGCUGCAUGGCUGUCGUCAGCUCGUGCUGUGAAGCGUCGGGUUAAGUCCCUUAACGAGCGCAACCCUUGUCGUUAGUUACUAACAGGUAAUGCUGAGGACUCUAACGAGACUGCCGGUGUCAAACCGGAGGAAGGCGGGGAUGACGUCAAGUCCUCAUGGCCCUUACAUCCAGGGUUGCACACGUGCUACAAUGGUGCGAACAAAGCGACGCGAGACCGCGAGGUGGAGCAAAUCGCAAAAAUCGCACCCCAGUUCGGAUUGCAGGCUGCAACCCGCCUGCAUGAAGCCGGAAUCGCUAGU
rnacentral:rRNA from 1 species